GGAAAUGUGCCUGAAUAAAGGACCACUUUGAUAGAGUGGAUGAUGAAAGUUAAAACCUUUCCACUUCCU
rnacentral:tRNA from 2 species